UCAAUUGUUUUUGUUGGCAGAUAUCAUGGUAGAGAAAUAGGAAUCUACUUAAGUUUUUUAAUGUUUGAUUAGUCAAAAUAUUUCCACUAUUCCUAUUUCCAAUAUCUGCCAGUGUCUGCUAAGUGUAACUAGUUAAGAUUAGGAAAAUGGUGAUUGCAAAGUCUUACAUAUGGACAAAAAGAAUGCUAAAGAUUGGUCUCUUGGGGCUUGAUUCAGUGAAAGAAUGUUGGACUAGCAGAAGUGUUAUGGAGUGUGUGUGUGUUUCUAUGGUGACAGUGGGAAGAGUCAUUUCAGUUGUAAAUUAUUUUGUGCAACAAGUUACUGGAAAAAAGUCAAGCAAGAGAGGUCACUACACUAAGACUUUGUCUUCUCAUAAGAAUGGAUUGUUUUCUCAAAAGAAUGGAUGGCUGCCUGGUCAUGUGGUAUGUGCACUGGACUGUUGUGGGGUCAUCUUGAUGCUCAUAUCUUGCCUGAUGCCAUUUAUUCUGCUGGACGUUUGGUCAAGGAAGUAGAUUCUCUUCAACUCUCAAGGAACAUUCAAAACAUGUCAAACAUUUGACAAGAAUAUCAAGCAAGUGCAGUGUAUAUACCAACAUGAUGAAGAUGUAGACCAACAUGAUGAAGAUGUAGACCAACAUGAAGAUGUAGACCAACAUGAAGAAUGAA